rnacentral:tRNA from 1 species
CAUUAUUUUCACUUGGACUCUAGACCAAGACCUGGGGCACGAAAAACCCCUGUUGUACUUUCAACUAUAAAAACUAACAUUAAACCAA